rnacentral:rRNA from 1 species
GAUGAACGCGGCGGCGUGCCUAAUACAUGCAAGUAGAACGCUGAAGCUUGGUGCUUGCACCGAGCGGUGAGUUGCGAACGGGUGAGUAACGCGUAGGUAACCUGCCUCUAGCGGGGGAUAACUAUUGGAAACGAUAGCUAAUACCGCAUAAAAGUCGAUAUCGCAUGAUGUUGAUUUGAAAGGUGCAAUUGCAUCACUAAGAGAUGGACCUGCGUUGUAUAGCUAGUUGGUGAGGUAACGGCUCACCAAGGCGACGAUACAUAGCCGACCUGAGAGGGUGAUCGGCCACACUGGGACUGAGACACGGCCCAGACUCCUACGGGAGGCAGCAGUAGGGAAUCUUCGGCAAUGGGGGCAACCCUGACCGAGCAACGCCGCGUGAGUGAAGAAGGUUUUCGGAUCGUAAAGCUCUGUUGUAAGAGAAGAACGAGUGUGAGAGUGGAAAGUUCACACUGUGACGGAACUACCAGAAA